rnacentral:rRNA from 1 species
UGGGGAAUUUUGGACAAUGGGCGAAAGCCUGAUCCAGCCAUGCCGCGUGAGUGAAGAAGGCCUUCGGGUUGUAAAGCUCUUUUAGUCGGAAAGAAAGAGUUGCAAUGAAUAAUUGUGAUUUAUGACGGUACCGACAGAAAAAGCACCGGCUAACUACGUGCCAGCAGCCGCGGUAAUACGUAGGGUGCGAGCGUUAAUCGGAAUUACUGGGCGUAAAGCGUGCGCAGGCGGUUUUGUAAGACAGAGGUGAAAUCCCCGGGCUCAACCUGGGAACUGCCUUUGUGACUGUAAGGCUGGAGUGCGGCAGAGGGGGAUGGAAUUCCGCGUGUAGCAGUGAAAUGCGUAGAUAUGCGGAGGAACACCGAUGGCGAAGGCAAUCCCCUGGGCCUGCACUGACGCUCAUGCACGAAAGCGUGGGGAGCAAACA